rnacentral:lncRNA from 1 species
AAUAAUUUUGAUUUAAAUAGUGAAAUUUAUUUGUCUGAACAAGUUGAUGACAUUUCAGGUCGUCUUUCAAAAAUUCCAUAUAACAGAAAUAACAAUUUUUAAUUCCAAGAAAAAAAAGUGGUAGACCAAAUGACUGGUCGGGGAAACUAUUAGUAACUGAAACUGAGUACCAAGUUUUAGCUGAGACUAAUUAUGAUUUAUAGGAGAGUCCAAUAAUUUUGAGAAAUUGAGUCAGAUAAAUAUAUUCUGAUAGUUUAUAUGUAAUUGUCAAUGUUUUUGACAUAGAAUUAAAUUGUUUGAUUGAUACCAGGUCC